rnacentral:lncRNA from 1 species
CAGAACAUCAGAUGCAUUGCACAAGGACACAGAUCCCAUUCCAGAUCAGGCCACUGGAAAUGAAAACUGGUUACUGAGGUAUAAACAAGAAUUGUCCAGCGGAUGAAAAUACAUCCAGCUACGAGUUCUGUCUUGUCCUGAUUGAUCCUCUAUAAAGCUAUUAUAAAGGUCACAAUAUGAUAAGUCAAAGACUACUGAGGAACAGGAGGGCACGAGAUGCUGUGAAUGAAGAAUAUGGACAUAAAUAAGCACACACACUUGAGUGUCAUUUUGUGGUUUUGCUAAGCAGUUUAAAGUUUUAUUACUCUCUUUGAAAAAUAAUCAAAAUAAUCUUGAAGCAGAGGGAGCAAGGUGGAAGUAGAGAAAGAGGAUUGUGCAAAGAAGUUUGUUAGACAACUUCUUUGAUUUCUAAUUAAUUGAAUUUGUUUCAAGUCCAAGUUAUAAUCUUCAAUAAAACUUAUGCUGGAG